rnacentral:rRNA from 2 species
GGGAUAAUUUAUCUCUGUGUUGUAGCUAACGCGUUAAGCACUCCGCCUGGGGACUACGGUCGCAAGACUAAAACUCAAAGGAAUUGACGGGGACCCGCACAAGCGGUGGAGCAUGUGGUUUAAUUCGAUGCAACGCGAAAAACCUUACCACUCCUUGACAUGGAGAUUAGAUCCUUCUUAACGGAAGGGCGCAGUUCGGCUGGAUCUCGCACAGGUGCUGCAUGGCUGUCGUCAGCUCGUGUCGUGAGAUGUUGGGUUAAGUCCCGCAACGAGCGUAACCCUCAUCCUUAGUUGCCAGCGGGUUAAGCCGGGCACUUUAAGGAAACUGCCAGUGGUAAACUGGAGGAAGGUGGGGAUGAUGUCAAGUCAGCACGGCCCUUAUGGGGUGGGCUACACACGUGCUACAAUGGUGACUACAAUAGGUUGCAAUGUCGCAAGGCUGAGCUAAUCCGUAAAAGUCAUCUCAGUUCGGAUUGUCCUCUGCAACUCGAGGGCAUGAAGUCGGAAUCGCUAGUAAUCGUGGAUCAGCAUGCCACGGUGAAUACGUUCUCGGGUCUUGUACACACUGCCCGUCACGCCAUGGGAA